rnacentral:rRNA from 1 species
GUCCAGACUCCUACGGGAGGCAGCAGUGGGGAAUAUUGCACAAUGGGGGAAACCCUGAUGCAGCGACGCCGCGUGAGUGAGGAAGUAUUUCGGUAUGUAAAGCUCUAUCAGCAGGGAAGAAAAUGACGGUACCUGACUAAGAAGCCCCGGCUAACUACGUGCCAGCAGCCGCGGUAAUACGUAGGGGGCAAGCGUUAUCCGGAUUUACUGGGUGUAAAGGGAGCGUAGACGGAAUUGCAAGUCUGGAGUGAAAUGCCGGGGCCCAACCCCGGAACUGCUUUGGAAACUGUGCAGCUCGAGUGCAGGAGAGGUAAGCGGAAUUCCUAGUGUAGCGGUGAAAUGCGUAGAUAUUAGGAGGAACACCAGUGGCGAAGGCGGCCUACUGGACUGUAACUGACGUUGAGGCUCGAAAGCGUGGGGAGCAAACAGGAUUAGAUACCCCUGUA